AGCCCGUCACCUUGCAACGGAUGGUGUAGGGCUUGCCGAUCUUGUUCCCCUAGUAACCUCUGCGCAUGGGGACAAUGGAGAGCUAGGCCAGGAUGAUGGCCCUGUGGAUGGCAGUGGCCACCUCCUUGGAGCACUUAACACCCAGACCGACGUGACCGUUGUAGCCCGCAAUGGCCACAAACGCCUUGAACCUGGUUCGCUGGCCGGCUCCGGUCUGCUUCUGCACCGGCAUAAUCUUCAAAACCUAGGCCUCGAGAGAGGCCCCCCAGGAAAAAAUCAAUGAUCUCAGAUUCCGUGAUGGGCAGGGAGAAGAGACAGAUCUCCUCCAGGGAAGUGAUCUUCAUGUGCUUGACCAGGCAGCCCAGCUUGCUGACGGGCAUCCACUCCUUAUCCUUGGCCUUGCCUCCGCGAGCUCCGUGGCUUCGGCCCCAGCCUGGUCCACGGCAGUGACCCCGGCCUCGGAUGCCACUGCCGAAACCUCCACGGAAGCCACCAUGGUUCCCCAUCCCAGGGCCCCGGGGCCUCCGGGACUCCCCCCGCAACCCAAUGCCGGCUGCGCCGGCGUCAUCCGCCAUUUGGUGUUUUCUCGGAGAAGAAGCUACAUGUGGAAUAUAUUAACGCAACAAAUUGUGCGUACUUGCUAGACAUUAGGCAUGAUAGCAAGUGCUAGGGUUACAAAGUAUUGCUUUUUGGGGAACCCAUGGUUGUUGGGGAGAAACCAGAAGAUCAGUCAUCACAGUGCGGCAAGAUCAGACUUGUGGUUUGUUCAGGUUCUGGGAGCCGUCACUGCAGUGAGAAUGGACCCCACAAUGUCUCAUAAGGGGAUCUGCAAGGCAGCCCUAAAUUCCAAGCAGGACAUGUAACUCCUCAAUGGACAAAUGGACACUGGACCCUGGUUGAAGGAACCUGUUGUUCUUAUGGUGGAGGGCAGAAACCCAAGAGGGCUGGAGCCAAUCCAUAACUCAGGCACGUGGCCACAUCUAACAGCAAGGGAGUCUGGAAAACACAGUUCAGCUGUGUGAAGGAUAUUUAUAAACAUUUAGCAAGAUCCAAAGGAAUGGACCAUAGCACAGCCCUGUUUUCUUUAGACGCUGACUCCUGCUGUCUACCAGAUCCUCGUGGUACAAUGACUGGUGUAGACUGGCUUGUUGAAGUCACUCUCUGGAUCUGAGCAACGCUGGCUGAGCCGUGAUGAAGUAUUCCUAUCCAUCCACUAUGCUUCACAGUGGGAAUCUCUCACUGUUCAUCACCGCUGCCCUAGCAGCCGCAGGGAUUCUUCACCCAUGGUUGCUUAGGUUUAUAAGCAAGGAAGCUGAAUGAAGUCCCUUUCCUCUCUGGAUGAGCCCCUGGGUUUCUGGAAGAGUCUUAAAAUCACCCCUAAAUGGCUUCCAAGCACUGAAGCCCGAGAUGUUAGCUGGCCUGUGUGAGGCCUUGAGACAGAAUGCCACAGCCACACCCCAAGGAUGCUGAAGGGGAUUUCCCUCCUCUGUGGUUUUUCUCCUUUCUUCCCGCAGCACUCCUCCUACGUGCUAACAUCUUCUAGUCAAACAACUCUCCUUUUCAAAGGGACCAGGCACAGUUUCUGCUUAUCCCUGAGUAGCAGUGUUCAGUUUCCUGCCAGCCUGUGGAGUUUUUCAAACAAGCCAAUCACCUCCUCCUGUGGGAACUGAGAAGCACCCCACCCUCUCGAUACUACAAAGCCCCUGCUUGUUCCCUAGUGCAACUCCCAUGUGGUCCUGUGGAGCAUAUGGUAUCUUCCUCUUCUGGGCAGUGAGCAUAUGUGACUAAUAAACUAUCUAUCUC
rnacentral:lncRNA from 1 species